CUGUCUCUCCUGCCCUUUCUUUUUUAAAAAAAUUUUUGCAGUUUACUCAAAAGCUAUGCUGGCAGCCCAUUGGAUGGUGCCCACCCACAUUGAAGGUAGGUCUUCCUCUCCCAGUCCAUUUACUCAAAUGUCAAUUUCCUCUGGAAACACCCUCACAGACACUCCCAGGAGGUGUUUCACCAGCCAGCUGGCAUCCCUCAAUCCAGUCAAGUUGACACAAUAUUAACCAUCACACCAACUUUGUUGUUACCUUGUAUGCUAGGCAGAAUAAUGAUCCCCCAAACAUGGUCACAUUCUAAUCCCUGGAACCUGUAAAUAUGUUAUGUUUUAUGGCAAGACGGAAUUAAAGUUGCAGAUGGAACUAAGUUUGCUGAUACACUGAGUUUAAAAUAGGGAGAUUCUCCUACAUUAUUUGGGUGGGCCCAAUGUGAGAACAAGCAUCCUUAAAAGAUGAAAAGAGAGGCCAAAGAGUGAGUGUCAUAGUGAUACGGUGUGAGAAAAACUUGACCAGCAAUUGAUAGCUUAGACGAUGGAGAAAGGGGCCACAAACCAAUGAAUGUAGACAGCCUCUUGAAGCUAGAACACGCAAGAAACUGGAUCCUCUCCUAGAGCCUCCAGAAAGGAAUGCAGCUCUGCUGACACCUUAACGCUGAGUGAGACCCAUUUUGGACUUCUGACCUCCAGAACUAUGACAUAAUAAACGUAUGUUAGGUGUUUUGGCCAGACGCAGUGACUCACGCCUGUAAUCCCAGCACUUUGGGAGGCCAAGGUGGGCAGAUCAUGAGGUCAGGAGAUCGAGACCAUCCUGGAUAACACGGUGAAACGCCAUCUCUACUAAAAAUACAAAAAAUUAGCCAGACGUGGUGGUGUGUGCCUGUAGUCCCAGCUACUCAGGAGGCUGAGGCAGGAGAAUGGCAUGAACCUGGGAAGCGGAGCUUGCAGUGAGCAGAGAUCUCGCCACUGCACUCCAGCCUGGGUGACAGAGCAAGACUCUGUCUCAAAAAAAAAAAAAAAAAAAAGGUAUGUUAGGUGUUUUAAGCCGCUAACUUUCUGGUAACUUGUUACAGCAGCAAUAGAAAACUAAUACAGCUCGAUUUUUUUCAUUGGGUUCCUCAGCAUCAUUGUAAGACAUGAAUUCUAAGGGUGUGUUGAGAGCAAGGUUCAGAUAUUUAGCAGAGUAGGAGAAAAGGAAAUAAUCGAGGCUCUGGCCCUCGCCGACACAAAUUUUCCUAGUGGAUAUAGACCUAUUUUUUCACAAACGUAAGUGCAACAGUAAAUUUCCAAAGCCCCGUAGAAAAUUUGUCAGUCUCUGAUGUUCUGAAUAACAUACAGCCAUACCCGCACUGUAAAGUUACUAAUCUCCCUCCCCAUCCCUUGCCAUACUGUGCUCUUUCGAAGGAAGUCACUCUGUGCAACCCGCACUUGAGGAGUGGUGCUACGGUUUGAGUGUCCCCUUCCAAACUCAUGUUGAAAUUUCAUUACCAAUGUAAUUAAGAGGCAGGACCUUCAAGAGGUGAUUAGGUCAGGAGGACUCUGCCCUCAUAGUGGAUUAAUGCUGUUAUUUCAGGAGUGGGUUAGUUAUCCCAAGAGUGGGUUCCUGAUAAAAAGGAUGAAGCUGACCAUCAGCUGAAUAAGAUAUAGUUCCAGCUACUUGGGAGGCUGGAGCAGGAGGGUUGCUUGAGCCUAGGAGUUCAAAACCAUAGUGUGCUAUGAUUCUUGUGAACAGUGAUUGUACUCCAGCCUGGGUAACAUAGUGAGGCCCUAUCUUUUUUUUUUUUUUUUGAGAAAGAGUCUUGCUCUGUCACUCUGUCCCUAGGCUAGAGUGCAGUGGCGUGAUCUCGGCUCACUACAACUUUUGCCUCCCAGGUUCAAGUGAUUCUCCUGCCUCAGCCUCUCAGGGAUUACAGGUGCCUGCCACCACACCUGGCUAAUUUUUUUGUAUUUUUAGUAGAGACAGGGGUUUCACCAUUUUGACCAGGCUGGUCUUGAACUCCUUACCUCA
rnacentral:lncRNA from 10 species